rnacentral:rRNA from 1 species
ACCGGUGCCAGCCGCCGCGGUAAUACCGGCGGCUCGAGUGGUGGCCCACUUUUAUUGGGCUUAAAGCGUUCGUAGCUGGGUUGUUAAGUCUCUUGGGAAAUCUGGCGGCUUAACCGUCAGGCGUCUAAGGGAUACUGGCAAUCUUGGAACCGGGAGAGGUGAGGGGUACUUCGGGGGUAGGAGUGAAAUCCUGUAAUCCUCGAGGGACCACCUGUGGCGAAGGCGCCUCACCAGAACGGCUUCGACAGUGAGGGACGAAAGCUGGGGGAGCAAACCGGAUUAGAUACCCGGGUAGUCCCAGCCGUAAACGAUGCGCGUUAGGUGUAUCGGUGACCACGAGUCACCGAGGUGCCGAAGGGAAACCGUGAAACGUGCCGCCUGGGAAGUACGGUCGCAAGGCUGAAACUUAAAGGAAUUGGCGGGGGAGCACCACAACGGGUGGAGCCUGCGGUUUAAUUGGACUCAACGCCGGAAAUCUCACCGGAUAAGACAGCUGAAUGAUUGCCGGGCUGAAGACUCUGCAUGACUAGCUGAGAGGAGGUGCAUGGCCGUCGUCAGUUCGUACUGUGAAGCAUCCUGUUAAGUCAGGCAACGAGCGAGACCCACGCCAACAGUUGCCAGCAUGGUCUCCGGACUGAUGGGGACACUGUUGGGACCGCCUCUGCUAAAGAGGAGGAAGGAAUGGGCGACGGUAGGUCAGCAUGCCCCGAAUUAUCCGGGCUACACGCGGGCUACAAUGGGCAGGACAAUGGGUAUCGACACCGAAAGGUGAAGGCAAUCUCCUAAACCUGUCCGUAGUUCGGAUUGUGGGCUGUAACUCGCCCACAUGAAGCUGGAAUCCGUAGUAAUCG